UCUGGUUGAUCCUGCCAGUAGUUAUAUGCUUGUCUCAAAGAUUAAGCCAUGCAUGUCUAAGUACACACGAAUUAAAAGUGAAACCGCAAAAGGCUCAUUAUAUCAGUUAUGGUUCCUUAGAUCGUUAACAGUUACUUGGAUAACUGUGGUAAUUCUAGAGCUAAUACAUGCAAUUAAAACAUGAACCUUAUGGGACAUGUGCUUUUAUUAGGCUAAAACCAAGCGAUCGCAAGAUCGUUAUAUUGGUUGAACUCUAGAUAACAUGCAGAUCGUAUGGUCUUGUACCGACGACAGAUCUUUCAAAUGUCUGCCCUAUCAACUUUUGAUGGUAGUAUCUAGGACUACCAUGGUUGCAACGGGUAACGGGGAAUCAGGGUUCGAUUCCGGAGAGGGAGCCUGAGAAACGGCUACCACAUCUAAGGAAGGCAGCAGGCGCGUAAAUUACCCACUCCCAGCUCGGGGAGGUAGUGACGAAAAAUAACAAUACAGGACUCAUAUCCGAGGCCCUGUAAUUGGAAUGAGUACACUUUAAAUCCUUUAACAAGGACCAAUUGGAGGGCAAGUCUGGUGCCAGCAGCCGCGGUAAUUCCAGCUCCAAUAGCGUAUAUUAAAGUUGUUGCGGUUAAAACGUUCGUAGUUGAACUUGUGCUUCAUACGGGUAGUACAACUUACAAUUGUGGUUAGUACUAUACCUUUAUGUAUGUAAGCGUAUUACCGGUGGAGUUCUUAUAUGUGAUUAAAUACUUGUAUUUUUUCAUAUGUUCCUCCUAUUUAAAAACCUGCAUUAGUGCUCUUAAACGAGUGUUAUUGUGGGCCGGUACUAUUACUUUGAACAAAUUAGAGUGCUUAAAGCAGGCUUCAAAUGCCUGAAUAUUCUGUGCAUGGGAUAAUGAAAUAAGACCUCUGUUCUGCUUUCAUUGGUUUUCAGAUCAAGAGGUAAUGAUUAAUAGAAGCAGUUUGGGGGCAUUAGUAUUACGACGCGAGAGGUGAAAUUCUUGGACCGUCGUAAGACUAACUUAAGCGAAAGCAUUUGCCAAAGAUGUUUUCAUUAAUCAAGAACGAAAGUUAGAGGUUCGAAGGCGAUCAGAUACCGCCCUAGUUCUAACCAUAAACGAUGCCAGCUAGCAAUUGGGUGUAGCUACUUUUAUGGCUCUCUCAGUCGCUUCCCGGGAAACCAAAGCUUUUGGGCUCCGGGGGAAGUAUGGUUGCAAAGCUGAAACUUAAAGGAAUUGACGGAAGGGCACCACCAGGAGUGGAGCCUGCGGCUUAAUU
rnacentral:rRNA from 1 species